CGAACGGGUGAGUAACGCGUGAGGAACCUGCCUCAAANAGGGGGACAACAGUUGGAAACGACUGCUAAUACCGCAUAAGCGCACAGAGCUGCAUGGCUCAGUGUGAAAAACUCCGGUGGUAUAAGAUGGACCCGCGUUGGAUUAGCUAGUUGGUGGGGUAACGGCCCACCAAGGCGACGAUCCAUAGCCGGCCUGAGAGGGUGAACGGUCACAUUGGGACUGAGACACGGCCCAGACUCCUACGGGAGGCAGCAUG
rnacentral:rRNA from 1 species